GCCAGGUGUGGUGGCGCACACCUGUAAUCCCAGCUACUCGGGAGGCUGAGGCAGGAGAAUCACUUGAACCCAGGAGGCAGAGGUUGCAGUGAGCCGAGAUCACACCACUGCACUCCAGCCUGGGUGACAGAGCGAGACUCCGUCUCAA
rnacentral:SRP_RNA from 2 species